rnacentral:rRNA from 1 species
GACGAACGCUGGCGGCGUGCUUAACACAUGCAAGUCGAACGGGCCCGCUCUCUUUUUUGGGGGUGGGUUGAGUGGCGAACGGGUGAGUAUCACGUGAGUAACCUGCCCCCUGCUCCUGGAUAACUGCUUGAAAGGGCGGCUAAUACGGGGUGUGCCGGCUGGUCCGCAUGGGCCUGGUCGGGAUAGUUUCAUCUUCGGGUGUUUCGGUGGGGGAUGGGCUCGCGGCCUAUCAGCUUGUUGGUGGGGUGAUGGCCCACCAAGGCGGUGACGGGUAGCCGGCCUGAGAGGGUGGGCGGCCACACUGGGACUGAGACACGGCCCAGACUCCUGCGGGAGGCAGCAGUGGGGGGUAUUGCACAAUGGGCUGAAGCCUGAUGCAGCGACGUCGCGUGAGGGAUGGAGGCCUUCGGGUUGUGAACCUCUUUCUCCGGUGGUGAAGGCCCUGUCCGUUGCGGCGGGGUUGACGGUAGCCGGGUAUGAAGCGCCGGCUAACUACGUG